CGAAAGCCUGACGGAGCAAUACCGCGUGAGGGAGGAAGGCUCUUGGGUUGUAAACCUCUUUUCUUAGGGAAGAAAAAAAUGACGGUACCUAAGGAAUCAGCAUCGGCUAACUCCGUGCCAGCAGCCGCGGUAAUACGGAGGAUGCAAGCGUUAUCCGGAAUGAUUGGGCGUAAAGCGUCCGCAGGUGGCAUUGCAAGUCUGCUGUUAAAGGUCAGGGCUUAACCCUGAACAGGCAGUGGAAACUGCAGAGCUAGAGUGUGGUAGGGGCAGAGGGAAUUCCCAGUGUAGCGGUGAAAUGCGUAGAGAUUGGGAAGAACACCGGUGGCGAAAGCGCUCUGCUAGGCCAUAACUGACACUCAGGGACGAAAGCUAGGGGAGCG
rnacentral:rRNA from 1 species